rnacentral:snoRNA from 1 species
AAACCAUGGUGAGGGCACAUUCUUAAAAGGUCUUUGUAUCUCUCUCAUGAGUCAUAGAGUGUUUCUAAAUCCAUCUGCACAAAAGAGGAGAGAUCAUUACGUAAUUU